rnacentral:snRNA from 1 species
AAAAAAAGGGCUUUUUCAAAACUGGAAACAAUACAGGGAAGAUUAGCAUGGCCACUGUGCAAGGAUGACAUUCAAACUCAUGACAUUCAAACUCCCUAUUUUU